CGAAUGGAAUCUUAACUUGAAAUAUUUUUCCCCCAAAAUGGACCAGAUGGGUCUGGGACAUGUUUUCAGUUCCGUGCAAGGAGCCACCAUCACACCAUGGUUUCCCACCUGAUAUUCUUCACGACCUCCUUGAGGGCAUUGUGCCAGUGGAGUUGGCGUUAUGCUUGCAGGAGAUGAUACACCUCAGGAAGAUUGUUCUUGACACCAAGAAGAUUCAUCUCACGUAGAAAGAGAUUCACCUAAGCAAGAACAAAGAUUUCUGAAUUGCUAAGGAACAUCUUCAGGACCUAUGGUCUCCUUGAAGACAUAGAUGUCAACAGCAGACAGAAAAUUACUCUGCAGGCCCUUCCCAUCUUCCUGCGGGAAGAUGCUGCUGGAUUUUUUAAGAACAGGAACAUACGCAUUUAAUUCAACUCCCGAGGCCCCAGGAAGGACCACUCCGGUACCCACCCCUGGGUCCCCGGCAGAGUGCCCCUCCCACCGGAGCCUUGGGGAGCUCCUGCAGCGAUACCAGGGCCUCCUGGGGGGGUAAACUGGACCACCUGGCCAUCGCCCUUCAGAACACCACCUGUCUCCACCGCUCAACUUCCUCGUCAUAAACAUGUGUGUAAAUGACCUCAUCGAGGGUCAGUCAGGAGCGACCACUUCACUCCCCAGGAGAGAAAGAAGAGGAAAAUUAAUUUAAUUGUUGGAGGACUGAAGUGCGUGGAAGUUGUUUGUGUGCACUGUGUUGUUGGAC
ensembl:lncRNA